CGUAGCAACGCUGGCGGCGUGCUUAACACAUGCAAGUCGAACGGUGAACACGGAGCUUGCUCUGUGGGAUCAGUGGCGAACGGGUGAGUAACACGUGAGCAACCUGCCCCUGACUCUGGGAUAAGCGCUGGAAACGGCGUCUAAUACUGGAUAUGUGACGUGACCGCAUGGUCUGCGUCUGGAAAGAAUUUCGGUUGGGGAUGGGCUCGCGGCCUAUCAGCUUGUUGGUGAGGUAAUGGCUCACCAAGGCGUCGACGGGUAGCCGGCCUGAGAGGGUGACCGGCCACACUGGGACUGAGACACGGCCCAGACUCCUACGGGAGGCAGCAGUGGGGAAUAUUGCACAAUGGGCGCAAGCCUGAUGCAGCAACGCCGCGUGAGGGACGACGGCCUUCGGGUUGUAAACCUCUUUUAGCAGGGAAGAAGCGAAAGUGACGGUACCUGCAGAAAAAGCGCCGGCUAACUACGUGCCAGCAGCCGCGGUAAUACGUAGGGCGCAAGCGUUAUCCGGAAUUAUUGGGCGUAAAGAGCUCGUAGGCGGUUUGUCGCGUCUGCUGUGAAAUCCGGAGGCUCAACCUCCGGCCUGCAGUGGGUACGG
rnacentral:rRNA from 1 species